ACGAUGCGUAGCCGACCUGAGAGGGUGAUCGGCCACACUGGGACUGAGACACGGCCCAGACUCCUACGGGAGGCAGCAGUAGGGAAUCUUCCGCAAUGGACGAAAGUCUGACGGAGCAACGCCGCGUGAGUGAUGAAGGUUUUCGGAUCGUAAAACUCUGUUGUUAGGGAAGAACAAGUACCGUUCGAAUAGGGCGGUACCUUGACGGUACCUAACCAGAAAGCCACGGCUAACUACGUGCCAGCAGCCGCGGUAAUACGUAGGUGGCAAGCGUUGUCCGGAAUUAUUGGGCGUAAAGCGCGCGCAGGCGGUUUCUUAAGUCUGAUGUGAAAGCCCCCGGCUCAACCGGGGAGGGUCAUUGGAAACUGGGGAACUUGAGUGCAGAAGAGGAGAGUGGAAUUCCACGUGUAGCGGUGAAAUGCGUAGAGAUGUGGAGGAACACCAGUGGCGAAGGCGACUCUCUGGUCUGUAACUGACGCUGAGGCGCGAAAGCGUGGGG
rnacentral:rRNA from 1 species